rnacentral:rRNA from 1 species
CCUACGGGUGGCUGCAGUGGGGAAUAUUGGGCAAUGGGCGCAAGCCUGACGCAGCAACGCCGCGUGAGGGAAGAAGGCUUUCGGGUUGUAAACUUCUUUUCUCAGGGACGAAGAAAGUGACGGUACCUGAGGAAUAAGCCACGGCUAACUACGUGCCAGCAGCCGCGGUAAUACGUAGGUGGCAAGCGUUAUCCGGAUUUAUUGGGUGUAAGGGGCGUGUAGGCGGGAGCGCAAGUCAGAUGUGAAAACCCAGGGCUCAACCCUGGGCCUGCAUUUGAAACUGUGUUUCUUGAGUGUUGGGGCGGCAAUCGGAAUGCCGGGUGUAGCGGUGAAAUGCGUAGAGAUCCGGAGGAACACCAGUGGCGAAGGCGGAUUGCUAGAC